rnacentral:rRNA from 1 species
UACGAAGGGGGCUAGCGUUUUUCGGAAUCACUGGGCGUAAAGCGCACGCAGGCGGAUCGAUAAGUCGGGGGUGAAAGCCCGGGGCUCAACCUCGGAACUGCCUUCGAUACUGUCGGUCUCGAGUCCGGGAGAGGUGAGUGGAAUUCCUAGUGUAGAGGUGAAAUUCGUAGAUAUUAGGAGGAACACCAGUGGCGAAGGCGGCUCACUGGCCCGGUACUGACGCUCAGGUGCGAAAGCGUGGGGAGCAAACAGG